GGGGGAAUAUUGCACAAUGGGCGCAAGCCUGAUGCAGCGACGCCGCGUGCGGGAUGGAGGCCUUCGGGUUGUAAACCGCUUUUGUUCAAGGGCAAGGCACGGUCUUUGGCCGUGUUGAGUGGAUUGUUCGAAUAAGCACCGGCUAACUACGUGCC
rnacentral:rRNA from 1 species